UCCCUUUGAAAGAUCCGCUCACUCACGUGCGCGUGCAUGUGCGCAUACACGUGCGUUAGCGUGUGUGUGAAUCGAUGAGAUACGCGCUUGAUUGGGUCUCCCUUGUUGUAAUAAUGUACAUGAGGAGGAGGAGGAGGAGGAGGAGGCACGGCGCGGCUCUGCCGGAGGAACCGAGCUCCAAACUCUUUCUCGGCCACUUUUCGUCCUCCUCUUUCUUUCCUUCUUUCUUUCCUCGCGCAGAUCUUUAAAUCAGACGCGUCUCCCCACGCGCUUUUUUAUUCUUCCUGCGCGCAGAAGCGCAAAAAUCAAGAUGUUUCUCGCGCUGCUGCUGCUGCUGGUGGAAUAAAAUCAAAGUUCUCGUGGUUUGUCCUCCUCAGAAGAGAUGAACAGAUCCUCAGAGAGAAGGAGGAGGAUAAGAAGAAGACAUGGAGGCUGAGGUUGAUGCAGAGAUUUGCAAAAGAUCACUGGUUCACAAUCUGCUGCAUUUGACCUCGGCCGGAACCAAUAAAGUGCUGCGGUAUGAGAACAAACACACACACACACGCACAAACACGCAGGAUUCAUUAAAACAGACUAAACAAAGCAUACGAUUCAAUUUCUUUGAAAUAAACUAAUAAAUCAGAUUCUAUAAAUGAUGCAACAUAUUUUUUGAGGAAACGAGAGUCAAACAGCAGAAUUCACUAUAUGUAUUAUCAUUUAAGAUGUUUUUUCAUAAUUCUUAGUGUUUUAUAAUAGUUCAAAAACACAAACA